rnacentral:lncRNA from 1 species
AUGAUCCCAUAUAGACUUACCUUCCCUCCUCAUGCCGCUGGCCAGGCACUUCUGGUACCUGCAGUACUGGCAGCGGUUGCGUUGCCGUUUGUCCACCACGCAGUCGCGGUUGUCGCGGCAGCUGUAGCUCAAAUCCUUACGGAUGGUGCGUUUAAAGAAACCCUUACAGCCCUCGCAGCUGUACACGCCGUAGUGCUUGCCUAUGGGGGGCAAUGGGGUUGUUAGUAGGGUCAUUAGUAGGGUCUAUUAGGGUCUAUUAGGGUCAUCAUUGGGGUCUAUUGGGGUCUAUUGGGGUCAUUAUUGGGGUCUAUUGGGGUCUACUGGGGUUGUAAGGAUCGUCAUUGGGGUCUAUUGGGGUCAUAGGAGUCAUCACUGGGGUCUAUUGGAGCCAUCAUUGGGGUCAUUAGGGACAUUAGGGUCUAUUAGGGUCAUCAUUGGGGUCUAUUGGGUCAUCAUUGGGAUCAUUAGGGUCUAUUCAGGCCAGCAUUGGGGUCAUUAGGGUCUCUUAGGGUCAUUAUUGGGGUCAUUAGGGUCUAUUAGAGUCAUUAUUGGGGUCAUUAGGGACAUUAGGAUCUAUUCAGGCCAGCAUUGGGGUCAUUAGGGUCUAUUAGGGUCUAUUAGGGUCUAUUAGAGUCUAUUAGGGUCUACUGGGGUUGUAGGGAUCGUCAUUGGGGUCAUUAGGAUCAUAGGAGUCAUCAUUGGGGUCUAUUGGGGUCUACUGGGGUCAUAGGGAUUGUCAUUGGGGUCAUUAGGGACAUUAGGGUCUAUUAGGGUCAUCAUUGGGGUCUAUUAGAGUCAUCAUUGGGGUCUAUUGGGGUCUACUGGGGUUGUAGGGAUUGUCAUUGGGGUCAUUAGGGUCUAUUAGGGUCAUUAGAGUCAUUAUUAGGGUCAUUAGGGUCUAUUAGGGUCAUCAUUGGGGUCAUUAGGGUCAUUAUUAGGGUCAUUAGGGUCUAUUACGAUCAUCAUUGGAGUCAUUAGGGUCUAUUACGAUCAUCAUUGGGGUCAUUGGGGUCUAUUACGGUCAUUAUUGGGGUCUAUUGGGUCAUUAGGGUCUAUUGGGGUCAU